rnacentral:rRNA from 1 species
UACGAAGGGGGCUAGCGUUGCUCGGAAUUACUGGGCGUAAAGCGCACGUAGGCGGCUCGAUAAGUCUGCUGUGAAAGUCCAGGGCUCAACCCUGGGAUGCCGGUGGAUACUGUCGAGCUCGAGUCCGGAAGAGGCGAGUGGAAUUCCUGGUGUAGCGGUGGAAUGCGCAGAUAUCAGGAAGAACACCAACGGCGAAGGCAGCUCGCUGGGACGGUACUGACGCUGAGACGCGAAAGCGUGGGGAGCGAACAGG